UACUGAAUAAAUUGUUUCUGGUCAAAUAAGGUACCCGCGGGUAAUAAGGCCUGUCGGGUAAUAAGGCCUAAGUGAUAGAAAUGAUAUUUAAAAUAACCGCUUCCGCUAAAGGCUUCUCUAGUAGAAGCGUCUAGCAUAGAAAUGUCGCUACAAUUUUAUAGAGUCCCGAUACAACGUUCCCUGUCUUCUAUAUUUCAUCAUCCGUCAUAUGCUAAAGUAGCGCAAAAGAAUUCCUAAAAAACGGUUUGAGUAAAUGGUAAACAUUUUUUAUAAUUUUAUAUUUAAUAAUUUAAAAUCAUUGUUCUAAUUUUUAUCAACAUAUUAAAAAGUAUUGUUGCUAAAUUUAAGUGAUGAUUGAUCUCUAAUACCAAUUUUAUUAAGUAUAGUAUAACUAUUUCCAGUAUGUUUAACCCGCAGGCCUUGUUACCCUAC